rnacentral:rRNA from 1 species
GACGAACGCUGGCGGCGUGCUUAACACAUGCAAGUCGAACGAUGAUCAGGAGCUUGCUCCUGUGAUUAGUGGCGAACGGGUGAGUAACACGUGAGUAACCUGCCCCUGACUCUGGGAUAAGCGUUGGAAACGACGUCUAAUACUGGAUACGACUGCCGGCCGCAUGGUCUGGUGGUGGAAAGAUUUUUUGGUUGGGGAUGGACUCGCGGCCUAUCAGCUUGUUGGUGAGGUAAUGGCUCACCGAGGCGACGACGGGUAGCCGGCCUGAGAGGGUGACCGGCCACACUGGGACUGAGACACGGCCCAGACUCCUACGGGAGGCAGCAGUGGGGAAUAUUGCACAAUGGGCGAAGGCCUGAUGCAGCAACGCCGCGUGAGGGAUGACGGCCUUCGGGUUGUAAACCUCUUUUAGUAGGGAAGAAGCGAAAGUGACGGUACCUGCAGGAAAAGCACCGGCUAACUACGUGCCAGCAGCCGCUGUAA